CCAAUGGUAGUGAUGACAGUGCCGGCAAAAAAGAAGGCAGAGCUCAGGUCCCACAGGCUGCUGGGAUUGGUGAGCGUCCCAACAGGGUUCACUCCCGAGCGGAUGGCCGACACGACUUGCUGGAGCGAAAAGAAGAGGCAGACAGAACUUUAACUUACAGCCGGAAAAAAUGUCUAGACAGUGUAGCACAUUACAGUGGAAAGGCAGAUCUGAAUAAUAUGAUGAAACAUGUGACCAAAGUUAUCCAUAAAAUUCAACCAAAGCUACACUAAAGGUCAAUGAGACUUAUUUUUACACUCAUAAGAGACUCAAAAAUGUUGUAAAGCAAGAAGACGACUCAAAUUCAGAAAGCCUCCUUCACUAUCCUAAGAACUACUCCUCUGUCAUGAGAAGGUGAGUAGUUUUAUUUUAUUAAUUAUUACUAUUUCUAUCCAAUCAUUUCUAAUAUUGGAAAUGAUCAUGAAUGCAAAUCAUUGAAGGUCAACAAGAAUCUCUUCAUAGAUUUUGUUCAGCUUCAAAGGUUCCUUCGGAUGAGAAAACAGGGAGCUGUCCAGGGUGCUGAUUCGACUGCAGCGACAACACAAGUCUUCUGGCUGUGGUUGACACAGGGGUGUUUGGCUAGAAAGUCCAACUUUUGAGUCAAGAUGGCUAAGCGUUGAGCACUGAUGGAGAAAGAUGGCAGAAGUUCGCCUGGACAGCACAACCAGCCUCUCAAAAGUUUUGGGACCCUCAAAAAAAGCAUAGCAGUGCUGUAGGACCCUCUUUACCCAAGCUGUUCCAGGGACCUGAAGACGGCCGCUCCCAUCACCAGGUAGAAGACAAUCAAAAGAAAGAUGGCAGUCACAGUCUUCCUUUUCAUCACCGUGGCAACCACCUGCAAUACCUCAACUGUUCAGUCAGCCAACACGUGCGUUGGAAAGAAGGUAAGGAACGAAAGCAUGAUGAUAGUUUCGUCGCGUCCUACCUCGCUUUCCUCUCGUGGAGUCAGCGUGAUGGACUUUGUGGAGAAGGAGAGGCGGGGCUUGGUGUUGUGGGUGGCUGAUUUGGGGUCCAGUAAGUCUGGAGCUGCCACUGUUGAAGGGGAUGAAGAGGGGAAGAAAAAAAACAAAAAACAUUGCCUAGAAUUGUGUUUUCCCACACUGUCUCACUUCACUUACUGCGGCCAUUUAGUUGUUAAUUUUAGAAGUCUUUAUAAAUAAAUCACAGACAAGGCUUUGAAAUGGCCUUUCAGUCGGAACACAAGCAAACACAUGAAUCACUCUCUUGCCUCUUUUUUUAAUGACAACAUUUUAACAAGUAGAACUACACAGUAAACACGCGUGAAUGCACACCAAAAGCAACAUUUAGAUUUGCUUCAUAUUGCAGUAUGAUUGUGUUUUGCAAAUAUUAUACACAUAAAAUAAUUUUUAGCUCUCCAAGUACCCCAAACAAUGAAGUAGCAUCGUAGGCUUAUGUGUUCGGCAAAAAGAGAAAUUUUCUUUCAAAAAUAUAUUUAAUAAUACUAUGAGCCACGGUAACAUUAUGUACAGUUUGAACAAAAUAUAUCAAAUUAAAACAUGAAUAUGUUUCUAUGUAAGUGAUAUAAAAAUUGAAACAUAAUGAUUGUUUGAAAUCAAACUGCUAAAAAAAAAAAGUUGUUCUUCUUGAACACAAUUGAACUGUACGUAACAAAUGUGUGGUACUGGAUUAAAAAAAAAGUUGAAGCCAUUUUGACGCUAUGCAAUCAGUGAUCGCCCCCACAUACCACGAGAGGGACAAUGAAUACGAUUUUUUUCACUUGUCUGCAAUAAUUACAGUGGUUUAUAAAACUGAGUGCAAAAAGACCUCAACCUUAUUGUUGCUCUGCUGUUUUUGUUGCAAAAACAGACAAUCACCAUAAAGUAUACGUAACAUCCACCUGCCUGAUCUAAUGACACACAAUGCAAAAGUUGUAUUAACAAACUAAACAUUAUCUGAAAAAUAACUGUCAGUGUGACAGCGUUUUAACAUUUUUAUGAUUGUAAUAAUAUAAAAUAAUUUUGCUUGUAGAGUUUUGGGGUAGACUCUCACCCAACAAAAUGAAAAUAUUUUUGAACGUUAU